GACCUAAACCAAGCUUCGGCUUGGCACGGUUUAGAAAUCAACGGAAAGAAAAAGCUCGUCAUGAGUAUUUCUUUCCGUUGUCAUAGCUCGAAAGGGCUAUGGGUAGCCGCAAGGCUGCC
rnacentral:sRNA from 12 species